GCUAAACGCGAAGAACCUUACCAAGGCUUGACAUGCAUCUCUAAACACGUGAAAGCGUGUGACCCUUCGGGGAAUUUGCACAGGUGCUGCAUGGCCGUCGUCAGCUCGUGUCGUGAGAUGUUGGGUUAAGUCCCGCAACGAGCGCAACCCUUGUGACUGGUUGCCAGCACGUAAUGGUGGGAACUCUAGUCAGACUGCCCAGAUCAACUGGGAGGAAGGUGGGGACGACGUCAGGUCAGUAUGGCCCUUACGCCUUGGGCUGCACACGUACUACAAUGCCCAGCACAAUGAGAACCGAUGCCGCGAGGUGGAGGAAAUCUGCAAAACUGGGCUCAGUUCGGAUUGGAGGCUGCAACUCGCCUCCAUGAAGUUGGAAUCGCUAGUAA
rnacentral:rRNA from 1 species